rnacentral:rRNA from 1 species
GCCAGCAGCCAUAUCACCCUGCAACCCACUAAAGCUAAGCAGGUGUGAGCCUGGUCAGGACCUUGAUGGGAGACCUCCUGGGAAAAACUAAGGUUGUUGCUGGAA